rnacentral:rRNA from 1 species
GUGGGGAAUAUUGCACAAUGGGGGAAACCCUGAUGCAGCGACGCCGCGUGAGUGAAGAAGUAUUUCGGUACGUAAAGCUCUAUCAGCAAGGAAGAAAAUGACGGUACUUGACUAAGAAGCCCCGGCUAACUACGUGCCAGCAGCCGCGGUAAUACGUAGGGGGCAAGCGUUAUCCGGAUUUACUGGGUGUAAAGGGAGCGUAGACGGUAUGGUAAGUCAGAUGUGAAAGCCCGGGGCUCAACCCCGGGACUGCAUUUGAAACUAUCAGACUAGAGUGCAGGAGAGGUAAGUGGAAUUCCUAGUGUAGCGGUGAAAUGCGUAGAUAUUAGGAGGAACACCAGUGGCGAAGGCGGCUUACUGGACUGUAACUGACGUUGAGGCUCGAAAGCGUGGGGAGCAAACAGGAUUAGUUACCCGAGUAGUCC